UACGAAGGGGGCUAGCGUUGUUCGGAAUUACUGGGCGUAAAGCGCACGUAGGCGGAUAUUUAAGUCAGGGGUGAAAUCCCAGAGCUCAACUCUGGAACUGCCUUUGAUACUGGGUAUCUCGAGUAUGGAAGAGGUGAGUGGAAUUCCGAGUGUAGAGGUGAAAUUCGUAGAUAUUCGGAGGAACACCGGUGGCGAAGGCGGCUCACUGGCUCGUAUCUGACGCUCAGGCGCGACAGCGUGGGGAUCAAACAGG
rnacentral:rRNA from 1 species